rnacentral:rRNA from 1 species
GAUGAACGCUGGCGGCGUGCCUAAUACAUGCAAGUCGAACGAGGUGCUUUUGUAGCAAUACGAGAGUAUCCUAGUGGCGAACGGGUGAGUAACGCGUUGGUGACCUACCCCAAAGUGUGGGAUAACAGUCCGAAAGGAUUGCUAAUACCGCAUGUGGUCUUCGGAUUUAGAAACUGAUGACUAAAGGAGCAAUUCGCUUUGGGAGGGACCUGCGUCCCAUCAGCUAGUUGGUGAGGUAAUGGCUCACCAAGGCUACGACGGGUAGGGGACCUGAGAGGGUGACCCCCCACAAUGGAACUGAAACACGGUCCAUACACCUACGGGUGGCAGCAGUAGGGAAUAUUGCACAAUGGGCGAAAGCCUGAUGCAGCAACGCCGCGUGUGCGAUGAAGGCCUUCGGGUCGUAAAGCACUUUUCUGGGAGAUGAGCAAGGACAGUAUCUCAGGAAU